AUACGGAGGGUGCAAGCGUUACUCGGAAUCACUGGGCGUAAAGCGCGCGCAGGCGGCUAUUUAAGUUGGAUGUGAAAGCCUACGGCUCAACCGUAGAACUGCAUCCAAAACUAUUUAGCUAGAGUGUGGGAGAGGAAGAUGGAAUUAGUUGUGUAGGGGUAAAAUCCGUAGAGAUAACUAGGAAUACCAAAAGCGAAGGCAAUCUUCUGGAACACUACUGACGCUGAGGCGCGAAAGCGUGGGGAGCAGACGGGAUUAGAUACCCUAGUAGUCC
rnacentral:rRNA from 1 species